rnacentral:rRNA from 1 species
UACGAAGGGUGCAAGCGUUAAUCGGAAUUACUGGGCGUAAAGCGUGCGUAGGUGGUUCGUUAAGUCUGAUGUGAAAGCCCUGGGCUCAACCUGGGAAUGGCAUUGGAAACUGGCGAUCUAGAGUGCGGUAGAGGGCAGUGGAAUUCCCGGUGUAGCAGUGAAAUGCGUAGAGAUCGGGAGGAACAUCUGUGGCGAAGGCGACUGCCUGGACCAGCACUGACACUGAGGCACGAAAGCGUGGGGAGCAAACAGG